CUUCCGAUAGCAUAGUAGCCUCAAAAAACCCUCCUGUGGUUUCGUAGUUUCUUACUUUGCCCUCCUGUGGUUUAAAAUGUAUCAAUUUGCCUUCUUGUGGAUUCUUUUUUCUCUUUUUCUUAUCAAUUUUAUUAUUUUUUUUCUUCAAUCAGUGAUAAAGUUAAAAUAAAAGGGUACUAAAGUGAAUAUUUGAUAAAUUUAGAUGAGUAUUUGAAGUUUUUUGUAUAUAAUUUAAUAAAAUAUUAACGAAAAAGCUACCGAAAAGAUAAAAACCAAACCACGUGGGGGAAAGUUGAAACAUUUUAAACCACUAGGGGACAAAGUG
rnacentral:lncRNA from 1 species